UUGAAAGUAAAAGUCGUAACAAGGUUUCUGUAGGUGAACCUGCGGAAGGAUCAUUGU
rnacentral:rRNA from 1 species